rnacentral:lncRNA from 1 species
AUUGCAGAGAAAUCUGGAAAAGUUCUGUCUGGGAAGGACAGCCACAUUGUCUUAAAUGUGUUUAAGGUGGAUGUGAACUAUUUAUCGAAAUUGGAUAGAAAAGUGGCAGGUGUGCUCUGGGGAGCAGGGGCUGAGCAACACGUGCUUUUACACUUUCUAAAUGACAAGAAUGUUAUUGGAAUUCCACCUCUAGCUCCAAACCAAAAAUUAAAGCAAAGGGUGCAGGAAAAAGAAGUGGAAGACCUGAAAGCUGUGGAAAAUAUGG